GGAAACUGGGGAUAAUACCGGAUAUUAGGUGAUGCCUGCAAUGGUUUGCCUUUGAAAUGUUUCUUGUAUUCGCCUAAGGAUAGAUCUGCGGCUGAUUAGGUCGUUGGUGGGGUAAUGGCCCACCAAGCCGAUGAUCGGUACGGGUUGUGAGAGCAAGGGCCCGGAGAUGGAACCUGAGACAAGGUUCCAGACCCUACGGGGUGCAGCAGGCGCGAAACCUCCGCAAUGUACGUAAGUGCGACGGGGGGAUCCCAAGUGUUAUGCUUAAUAGUAUGACUUUUCAUUAGUGUAAAAAGCUUUUAGAAUAAGAGCUGGGCAAGACCGGUGCCAGCCGCCGCGGUAACACCGGCAGCUCGAGUGGUAGCUGUUUUUAUUGGGCCUAAAGCGUUCGUAGCCGGUUUAAUAAGUCUUUGGUGAAAGCUUGUAGCUUAACUAUAAGAAGUGCUGGAGAUACUAUUAGACUUGAAGUCGGGAGAGGUUAUAGGUACUACCGGGGUA
rnacentral:rRNA from 1 species